GGUAAUAGCUCAGUGGAAGAGCGCAUGCUUAGCAGGCACAAGGUCCUGGGUUCAAUCCCCAGUACCG
rnacentral:tRNA from 1 species